AUGGCACUCUCUCUGUCUGCAGUGACUGGAGGCGUUUCGGCCAAGGCAUUCCAACUACGCGCCUGGAUUCAAGGACGUGAAGUGCUGAUGCUUGUGGAUUCCGGCAGCUCCAAUUCCUUCGUCGAUGCUCAACUGGCGAAGUCCCUCUCCGGUGUUCAGAGUCUGCCAAAGUCAGGGCGUGUUCGUGUGGCUGACGGAGGAGAGUUAAUCUGCACUGCAGCUGUGCCAAGUUGUGCCUGGUACUCGCAAGGACACGAAUUUUUCACAGAUCUGAAAGUGCUCACGCUCGGGAAUUAUGAUGCAAUUUUGGGGAUGGACUGGCUAGAAGAGCACAGUCCUAUGGUUGUCGAAUGGCGUGCUCGGUUCAUUGAGAUACCCACACCAGCAGGACCCCUCCGUCUCACGGGCCAAGAUGCUUCAUCCACUCGCUGUGAAUCCAUCAAUUUCGUGCAGCUGCAAGGGCUCUGUAGUCAAGGUUCAGUUUCUCACAUCAUACACUUGUGCGUGGUUGCUCCUGAUGCUGAAACCACCACUCCGAUCCCUGACUGCAUCCAGAAAGUAAUUGAGGAAUUUCCUGACAUUUUCGCGGAACCCACUGGCCUUCCUCCCAGGCGUGCCUGUGACCACAGAAUUCCAGUGAUUCCAGGCGCACAACCAGUGAAUGUGCGUCCAUACAGACACAAGCCUGAACUCAAAUCUGAGAUCGAGAAACAAGUAGAAGAAUUGCUCAGAUCAGGCAUCAUUCAAAGAAGCACCAGCCCUUUUUCUUCGCCGGUGAUUUUGGUCAAGAAAAAAGAUGGAACCUGGAGGUUAUGCAUCGACUACAGGCACCUCAACGCACUUACAGUCGUCGCCAAGCACCCCGUGCCCAUCAUAGAAGAACUCUUGGACGAGCUCCACGGCGCAGCCUGGUUUUCCAAGCUCGACCUUCGGGCCAGAUAUCAUCAAAUACGACUGGCUCCAAGGGAAGAAUACAAGACAGCGUUUCAAACACACCAAGGGCACUUUGAAUUCAAAGUGGUGUCAUUCGGGUUGGCGGGAGCGCCAGCCACCUUCAUCGGGGCAGUCACAACUACACUCCAACCAGUCAACCGUGUCUGCGUGAUUUCCUUCUUUGACGAUAUUCUGAUGUUCAGUGCUACUCUGCAAGCACACGUUGCCCACUUGCGCCAAGUCCUCACACUGCUCCGGCGAGACAGCUGGUACGUCAAAAUCAGCAAAUGCGCUUUCGGGCAACAACAAGUCUCUUACCUGGGGCACACAAUCAGCGCCCAGGGUGUCUCCACAGACCCGUCCAAGAUCACUGCAGUCGCCAAUUGA
rnacentral:rRNA from 1 species